UACGAAGGGGGCUAGCGUUGCUCGGAUUGACUGGGCGUAAAGGGCGCGUAGGCGGAUAGUACAGACAGGUGUGAAAUCCCCGGGCUUAACCUGGGAACUGCGCUUGUUACUGGCAAGCUGGAGUGUGGCAGAGGGGGGUGGAAUUCCACGUGUAGCAGUGAAAUGCGUAGAUAUGCGGAGGAACACCGAUGGCGAAGGCAAUCCCCUGGGCCUGCACUGACGCUCGUGCACGAAAGCGUGGGGAGCAAACAGG
rnacentral:rRNA from 1 species